CUACGGGAGGCAGCAGUGGGGAAUAUUGGACAAUGGGGGAAACCCUGAUCCAGCAAUGCCGCGUGUGUGAAGAAGGCCUGCGGGUUGUAAAGCACUUUCGGUUGGGAGGACUGCUUCUAGCACUAAUAUUGUUGGAAGUUGACGUUACCUUCAGAAGAAGCACCGGCUAACUCCGUGCCAGCAGCCGCGGUAAUACGGAGGGUGCACGCGUUAAUCGGAAUUACUGGGCGUAAAGCGCGCGUAGGCGGCUAGAUCAGUCGGGUGUGAAAGCCCCGGGCUUAACCUGGGAACUGCAUCCGAUACUGUCUAGCUUGAGUACAGGAGAGGAGAGUGGAAUUCCACAUGUAGCGGUGAAAUGCGUAGAUAUGUGGAGGAACACCAAUGGCGAAGGCAGCUCUCUGGCCCGAUACUGACGCUGAGGUGCGAAAGCGUGGGGAGCAAACAGGAUUAGAUACCCGCGUAGUC
rnacentral:rRNA from 1 species